AAAGUUGCAAAGAACUCUGAAGAGAGAGUUCAAGAGGGCGUGAAACCGCUGGGAUGGAAGCGAAUAGAGUCGACGAAACCUGCUCCAUCAUUCAACCGAUCAGCUCUGCGGUCUGUCACCGCGCUACCGCACGCAACACUGCGGAGAACGUCGGCGAUAGUCACCGCCGGGUGGAGCUAGGCCUGUGUGAUCGGUGCAUUUGAUGGCGGUAUGCGCCGAGAGCCGCGUCAAAGUGUGCGCUAACGUCUGCUUGGUGCAGUGGACCGUUGUACGUCUUCGGACGGGCGGAAACCUGCACUCGACCGAGGCGUAUCACUGAUGCGGUGAACAGCCGUGUACAGCAGCCCCCGCGCCCUGUUGCGUAUACGCGUCUUUCGAUUGUUCGACCUGGCCGUGUGGCGGCGCGCACUGCUCGCCCAGGCGUGCAGUGCGUCCGCUCAUGGUCUAGUCAGGGUCGUUGGUACGCGUUGGGGCUGUGUCUCGGUGUGAGUGUCGAUCACCUAUUCGACCCGUCUUGAAACACGGACCAAGGAGUCUAGCAUAUGCGCAAGUUAUUGGGUGGUAAACCCGGAGAAAACGCAAUGAAAGUGAAAUCGACCGCUUUGACGGUCGCAAACUGUGAACCAGACGACUBCGUCAGGCGCAACAGUGCCCCGUCUCGGUUGCCGUUGGCAACGGGGCGGAGGUAGAGCGCAUAUGCUGGGACCCGAAAGAUGGUGAACUAUGCCUGAGCAGGAUGAAGCCAGAGGAAAC
rnacentral:rRNA from 1 species